rnacentral:lncRNA from 1 species
GGAAAGUUGCCUAAAAUGCUUUAUGUGCUAAAUGUUAUAUGUUGCCAUAUAUGAUAUUAUUUGUUCGGAUCUAUGGUCUGUUGCCGACCGGAUCUAGAAACCUUAUGUGUGUAGGAUUCUAAGCGUACGUCUACGAUAUUAGAACUAGCAUGUAAACGUUUCGGAGUGAUAAGGAUGAUUUGAAUAUCUAUCAUGAUUGAGGAUCUAAUUUCACCUUAUUCGGUGUAGAUCAAAAUGGUGAGAACAAGAAGUGGAGUUGGAAAUGCUGACGAAAACAGGAAUCAACCACCAGUGAUUGAGCCAAUACCUGUCGUAGCAGCAGCACCUGAGCCAAUAACCAUGGCUGGUGUGCAAUUGAUGAUUCAGACGAUGUUGGANUUCACCUUAUUCGGUGUGUAGAUCAAAAUGGUGAGAACCAGAAGUGGAGUUAGAAAUGCUGACGAAAACAGGAAUCAACUACCAGUGAUUGAGCAAGUACCUGUCGUAGCAGCAGCACCUGAGCCAAUAACCAUGGCUGGUGUGCAAAUGAUGAUUCAGACGAUGUUGGAUCGUCAGAUGGAUGAAACUAGACGGUUGCUUCAAAAGAAUCGUGAAGAACUGUCAAUUCGUGUGGAGGAGCCUGAAUUAAAUGAAGGGCACUCGGAAGGUGGAAACUUCAGUGGGUCUGUUGGUCAAGCCAACCCACCGAUAGUUAGGCAAGACAACCAUGAUGGAAGGAAUGAUGGAAUGGGAUGCAAGUACAAGGACUUUCUAACUUGCAAACCAUCGACCUUCAAUGGAAAGGAGGAUCCGAUUGGGGUUAUGGAUUGGAUCUCCGAAAUGGAGUUAGCCUUUAUGACAUGUGGCUGUAGAGGCAAGUUGCAGACUAUCUAUGCCAUGCAUCAGGUCCGAGGUGGAGCCGUUCAUUGGUGGAACACUCUAGGGAAGACGUUAAGCCCUAAUGAGCCACUACAAUUGACAUGGGCAGAGUUCUUGGUGCAGUUCAAGCGCAAGUUCUGCUCGGCUCAAAAUCUGUUGGAGUUGGAGAAUAAGUUUUUGGCAUUGACGAAAGGCAGCAUGUCAGUUGAUGAUUACACCAAUAACUUCAC